rnacentral:rRNA from 1 species
AUUGAACGCUGGCGGCAGGCCUAACACAUGCAAGUCGAACGAGUGGCGGACGGGUGAGUAAUGUCUGGGAAACUGCCCGAGGGAGGGGGAUAACUACUGGAAACGGUAGAUAAUACCGCCUACCAUCGGAUGUGCCCAGAUAGGAUGAGCUAGUAGGUGGGGUAAAGGCUCACCUAGGCGACGAUCCCUAGCUGGGCUGAGAGGAUGACCAGCCACAAUGGAAAUGAGACACGGUCCAGACUCCUACGGGAGGCAGCAGUGGGGAAUAUUGCACAAUGGGCGAAAGCCUGAUGCAGCCAUGCCGCGUGUGUGAAGAAGGCCUUCGGGUUGUAAAGCACUUUCAGCGGGGAGGCGUUACCCGCAGAAGAAGCACCGGCUAACUCCGUGCCAGCAGCCGCGGUAAUAC